UACGGAGGAUGCGAGCGUUAUCCGGAUUUAUUGGGUUUAAAGGGUGCGUAGGCGGAACAUUAAGUCAGCGGUAAAAUCGAGGGGCUCAACCCCUUUAAGCCGUUGAAACUGUGUUUCUUGAGUACUGGAGAGGCAGACGGAAUUCCUAGUGUAGCGGUGAAAUGCGUAGAUAUUAGGAGGAACACCAGUGGCGAAGGCGGUCUGCUGGACAGCAACUGACGCUGAGGCGCGAAAGCGUGGGUAUCGAACAGG
rnacentral:rRNA from 1 species